UUGAUGGACAGCCCUGAUGAAGCCCUUUUUUGCAAAGGAUUCCACAAGGAGUAUUUCACAGAGUUGAAGAAAUAAGUUUGCUGCUGUGAAGUGGAGCUACAUGAAUAACAGGUCUGGCGAGACUACGCUGGAAGCAUUUGGAAGAUAGAGGGAAGGCACAUUACCACUCGUCAGGACAGAGAGGGCCAGACCACUUUUUUAAUAAAAUAUCCCCGGACACAUGGAUUGCAAGACUGGCAAGACAAAAAAAAAGGCUAUUUCACAUGGAUCUGAAGAACCUUUUAACAUCAGGACCUAAGUGCUAUUGCAUUGUUUGUUUGUUUUUAUUAUGUUUUAUAUUAUACAAUUCUAGUGUAUCUAAUGCUCAUUUAAUAUAGUCAAGUCCCAAGGUACAAAUGUUUUGGAAUAGACUCUUCUUAUGGUUUUCAAAAAUAUACAAAUGUAACAUAAUACUGACCUUAAAGGAGGUUAUGCUAUUUAAAAUCACUAAAAAUAUUCCAAUUCAUAAUAAUGAUAAGCUGUGUAUAAAUAUUCUAUUACUGGCAUGAAAACAAAUGAGACAAUGGAUCACUAUGAAUCCAAAGAUACCUUUAUUAAAAAAUAAAAUUACAUGAACAGCUAUUCAUAGAAUAAUUUUAGUCAAAAGGGAAUGUACAGGGUAGAUUGAAAAUGUACAUAGAAAAUUUAUGUCUCGUUAUUAAAAUAUUAUCAGAUGUUCAUUAAAAGCAACUCUGUUUUCCA